CCUACGGGAGGCAGCAGUGGGGAAUAUUGCACAAUGGAGGAAACUCUGAUGCAGCGACGCCGCGUGAAUGAUGAAGGCCUUCGGGUCGUAAAGUUCUGUCCUUGGGGAAGAUAAUGACGGUACCCAAGGAGGAAGCCCCGGCUAACUACGUGCCAGCAGCCGCG
rnacentral:rRNA from 1 species